rnacentral:rRNA from 1 species
GUGGGGAAUAUUGGACAAUGGGCGCAAGCCUGAUCCAGCAAUGUCGCGUGCAGGAAGAAGGCCUUCGGGUUGUAAACUGCUUUUGUACGGAACGAAACGGCUCUGGUUAAUACCUGGGGCUAAUGACGGUACCGUAAGAAUAAGCACCGGCUAACUACGUGCCAGCAGCCGCGGUAAUACGUAGGGUGCAAGCGUUAAUCGGAAUUACUGGGCGUAAAGCGUGCGGAGGCGGGUUUGUAAGACAGGCGUGAAAUCCCCGGGCUCAACCUGGGAAUGGCGCUUGUGACUGCAAGGCUGGAGUGCGGCAGAGGGGGAUGGAAUUCCGCGUGUAGCAGUGAAAUGCGUAGAUAUGCGGAGGAACACCGAUGGCGAAGGCAAUCCCCUGGGCCUGCACUGACGCUCAUGCACGAAAGCGUGGGGAGCAAACAGGAUUAGAAAACCCGGGUAGUCC